rnacentral:piRNA from 1 species
UCCUGGGUUCUGGUGCAACUGUCCAGU